rnacentral:rRNA from 1 species
UACGUAGGGGGCUAGCGUUGUCCGGAAUCAUUGGGCGUAAAGAGCGUGUAGGCGGUCCGGUAAGUCCGCUGUGAAAGUCGGGGGCUCAACCCUCGAAUGCCGGCGGAUACUGUCGGGCUAGAGUGCGGAAGAGGCGAGUGGAAUUCCUGGUGUAGCGGUGAAAUGCGCAGAUAUCAGGAGGAACACCUAUUGCGAAGGCAGCUCGCUGGGACGUAACUGACGCUGAGACGCGAAAGCGUGGGGAGCAAACAGG